rnacentral:rRNA from 1 species
UACGUAGGGAGCAAGCGUUGUCCGGAAUGACUGGGCGUAAAGGGUGCGUAGGCGGCGUCUUAAGUUAGAAGUGAAAGCCCCGGGCUUAACCUGGGAACUACUUCUAAGACUGGGAUGCUAGAGUGUGGGAGAGGUAAGUGGAAUUCCUAGUGUAGCGGUGGAAUGCGUAGAUAUUAGGAGGAACACCAGAGGCGAAGGCGACUUACUGGACCAUAACUGACGCUGAAGCACGAAAGCGUGGGUAGCAAAC